UACGUAGGGGGCAAGCGUUGUCCGGAUUUACUGGGCGUAAAGAGCGUGUAGGCGGCCAAACAGGUCCGUUGUGAAAACUGGAGGCUCAACCUCCAGACGUCGAUGGAAACCGUAUGGCUAGAGUCCGGAAGAGGAGAGUGGAAUUCCUGGUGUAGCGGUGAAAUGCGCAGAUAUCAGGAAGAACACCCGUGGCGAAGGCGGUUCUCUGGGACGGUACUGACGCUGAGACGCGAAAGCGUGGGGAGCGAACAGG
rnacentral:rRNA from 1 species